rnacentral:rRNA from 1 species
GUAGUCCACGCUGUAAACGAUGGGUACUAGGCUUUGUGGGAAUUGACCCCUGCAGAGCCGGAGCUAACGCGAUAAGUACCCCGCCUGGGAAGUACGGUCGCAAGACUAAAACUCAAAGGAAUUGACGGGGGCCCGCACAAGCGGUGGAUCAUGUGGUUUAAUUCGAAGCAACGCGCAGAACCUUACCUAGGUUUGACAUCCUCUGACAGCCGUAGAAAUACGGUUUCUGUAGCAAUACAGCAGAGAGACAGGUGCUGCAUGGCUGUCGUCAGCUCGUGUGGUGACAUGUUGGGUUAAGUCCCGCAACGAGCGCAACCCUUGCCUUUAGUUGCCAGCAUUCAGUUGGGCACUCUAGAGGGACUGCCGUGGUUAACACGGA